GAUGAACGCUAGCUACAGGCUUAACACAUGCAAGUCGAGGGGCAGCAGGAUCUAGCAAUAGAUUGCUGGCGACCGGCGCACGGGUGAGUAACACGUAUCCAACCUGCCGAUAACUCGGGGAUAGCCUUUCGAAAGAAAGAUUAAUACCCGAUGGCAUAAUCAGACCGCAUGGUCUUGUUAUUAAAGAAUUUCGGUUAUCGAUGGGGAUGCGUUCCAUUAGGCAGUUGGUGAGGUAACGGCUCACCAAACCUUCGAUGGAUAGGGGUUCUGAGAGGAAGGUCCCCCACAUUGGAACUGAGACACGGUCCAAACUCCCACGGGAGGCAGCAGUGAGGAAUAUUGGUCAAUGGGCGCAGGCCUGAACCAGCCAAGUAGCGUGAAGGAUGACUGCCCUAUGGGUUGUAAACUUCUUUUAUAUGGGAAUAAAGUUUUCCACGUGUGGAAUUUUGUAUGUACCAUAUGAAUAAGGAUCGGCUAACUCCGUGCCAGCAGCCGCGGUAAUACGGAGGAUCCGAGCGUUAUCCGGAUUUAUUGGGUUUAAAGGGAGCGUAGGUGGACUGGUAAGUCAGUUGUGAAAGUUUGCGGCUCAACCGUAAAAUUGCAGUUGAUACUGUCAGUCUUGAGUACAGUAGAGGUGGGCGGAAUUCGUGGUGUAGCGGUGAAAUGCUUAGAUAUCACGAAGAACUCCGAUUGCGAAGGCAGCUCACUGGACUGCAACUGACACUGAUGCUCGAAAGUGUGGGUAUCAAACAGG
rnacentral:rRNA from 1 species